rnacentral:rRNA from 1 species
AAUAGAUACCCCGGUAGUCCACGCCGUAAACGAUGGAUACUAGCUGUUGGGGGCGACCUCAGUGGCUAAGCGAAAGUGAUAAGUAUCCCACCUGGGGAGUACGUUCGCAAGAAUGAAACUCAAAGGAAUUGACGGGGGCCCGCACAAGCGGUGGAGCAUGUGGUUUAAUUCGAUGAUACGCGAGGAACCUUACCAAGGCUUAAAUGCAGACUGACCGUUUUGGAAACAGAACUUUCGCAAGACAGUCUACAAGGUGCUGCAUGGUUGUCGUCAGCUCGUGCCGUGAGGUGUCAGGUUAAGUCCUAUAACGAGCGCAACCCCUGUUGUUAGUUGCCAGCGAGUAGUGUCGGGAACUCUAACAAGACUGCCAGUGCAAACUGUGAGGAAGGUGGGGAUGACGUCAAAUCAUCACGGCCCUUACGCCUUGGGCUACACACGUGCUACAAUGGCCGGUACAGAGAGCAGCCACCUCGCGAGGGGGAGCGAAUCUACAAAGCCGGUCACAGUUCGGAUCGGAGUCUGCAACUCGACUCCG